rnacentral:lncRNA from 1 species
CAGAGAAAGAGGAACCAGAAGAAAGAGAAACUCGCGACAACAGAGUUGCCGAAAGAGAAGUGUUGGCGCCUCAAAAUUGAGGAUCAGCUUCUUGGGCCCCACUCCAGGGUGUCGCGGGGGUCGGGUUCUUUCCGCCGCCCCCCGAAAGAUUCUCAGCUAACCCUUUCCCCGCCGAGACCAAGAGGCCCUCACUCUGACACCACUCCGGGAGCCAAGCUACUGUAAGGAGCUGAUACCACCCCUCGCCGGCGCGAACCGCCCAUCUCCCCAGACCCGCCCACCCCCUGCUGCGAAUCCCUGACGUUCUAGCCCGGCGAAGGUCCUUUUAAAUUAGGAAACAAUAGCUAUUUAAGAAGAAGCGCAAAUAACCCGCGCUCUGCGCGCCCAAUCGUGGCAUUCUUGGGAGUUCCCCGCGGGCAAGGAAGUCUGCUGCUCCCCGCAGCUGCGGAGGAGAGGAGGGAGCCUGCGUGCUGGGGCAGGGUGUCGCGAACUUGGGGCAACCCACCUCCAGAGCCCCGCCCCCGCUUUCCCGCCUGCCGGGGACCUGCCGAACGGGGAACCACCCUCCUUCCUGAGGCAAAUUUGGGAGGGGAGAGGUCCAGAAGCUGUAGAGUCGGGGCGCCAAGCGCCAGAUUCUGCCGCUCGGAAGUCGGGGGCAGUCCCCAGUCCCGCCUCAGGCCCCCGUGCUCACCGGGCGCUCCGCCGAGGGCGCGGGCCAGGCGCGCGGUGUCACCUCCACGAAGUCAUUUACUUGCCCUGAAGGAGCUGGCCCUCGACCCCUUGGAGGAUGGAGAUUCCUCCCAUUCCCUCCUCCCCCUCCCCCAGGUCGGCGAAGAGACGUGGAAUUGAGCUGGACCGAUGAUUCCGCGAGCUCUGUAAUUAUGCACACACUGAAAUCUUCACCGUUGACUUAAGUUACUUGGCGCUGCGAGGGCUGGGGCCCUGCAUAUUGAUUAAAUGCAGCCUCUAUUUACCUAAACAAUAAAUGUAGAGAUUAGCAACGUUCACUUGAUCACAAUAAUGGGAUUGACAAUUAAGGGGCAAUGCAUCCCAGAUGUAGCGGAACCUAUGGGCUGCGUGCAGCGGGCAGAGGGCUUCUCAGAGAGGGGCGCUGGGCAGUUGCGGCGACGGAGGUAGUGCAGAGCAGGAAGCGGCGCGGAAGCACAGCGGGAGGCGGAGGGGGACGCCCAGCCUCGUCAAGGUCUUCGGCCACCCCGCCCGGGAGGCUCGAAACUGGCUUUGGGGUACCUGAAUGCCUCGACUCCCAGGGAGACAUCGGGAGCUCGGAGCCACUCUCCCUGUGGCGAUGGCACCUGCCUCAAGGCCGUCUCGCUUGCUGAUGCCUGGCCGGGAAGGAGGAUGGACGCCGCUGGCAUGUGCCCUGGCUCUGGAAAAACUGGCAGGAAUUUCCUUGUCGUGAGAAGAUGGACGAGUGUGUCUGCAGCCGAGGAGACAACUACAAACAGACUUUGGGCAGGGAAGGCGGGCGGGCGGGGGUGGGGGUGGGGGCGGGGGCCAGCUUUGAUCGCUCCAGCUCUGUUGUAAUUUUGUCUUCGCCAGAUAGAUUAGCUGGAACCGCCAGCCCUAGCUUGGAGUUCCGUUCCACCGAGUACCCUCCCUCCCCACCCCCCGCGUCAUCUCGCGCCUGGAGCCGGGUCGCCGCUCCUUCCGAAGUCUCGCUGGAAACUUCAAGGGCUGAUGGUUCUGUGUUCCUGACGUAAUUAAGAGGCCACGCAGCUCUCCAACACUCCGUUAAACAAAUAUACUCCUGCAGGCUCAGAUUUGAAGAGGGAAGGUUCCAGCCAAGUCCACCUUAAGUCUGAGUUUGGGCGACUACAGAAUCUAGGAAGAAAAUCUAGAUGGCAUGGUCGCUCCGGUCUCAGUUCUACAGGGGAGGGAAGAAAGGGGGUGUUAGUGGGGAUAUUUGCUGUUCAUUUUUCCCACAAUCUCCCUUCCAAAUCAGUCACUGAUUAAUGAGCAAAGCCCAUGCCACAAGUUAUAGAUUACUGUGGACUGAGGAUCAUUUUGUUAAUAUCAGGCAAGAAACUUUCCUUACUUGCAUCCCUGUGUCUGUAUUUACAGUAAAAACUUCCUUAGUCACAAACUGAUAUGCUUUUAGCCAUAUCUUUUCUUCUUACUUACUUAUUUUUAGCAUCAUCAGGAGUUGGGAUAGGAAAUAACAUGGGGGAGGGGUGUGUUAAAGGGAAGGAAGGAAAAGCCAUCCUUUAUCCCAGAGUGUCCUGGAGGUAUGCCUACACUCCUGUUUAACAUCUUGUGGUUGUAGUGCCUUCUCCAAGCCCUGGAUGGAGGAGGAAAGAGUUGGAAGCCUCCUCAAAUCUGCCUAUGAAAGGGUAAAACUGAGGAAACUGGUACCCUGGCUAUGAGAAGCUGAAUCCUCUGGCCUCUAGCUUUUCUUGAUAUUAGUUCAGGUCUAUGUAAAAAAAUUGCUUUAGUGUCUCCAAAGGUGGUUCCAUUAGAGUUGGCUGAGACAAUACAUGUGCAUCAUUUUGGAAGAGAUGCUCUUAAAAAGAAGAAAGCCACUACAGAAUGCCACAUUUGCUUAGGUCUAAGACCCUUCUGUGGUAGUCGGUGAGGGAGGGAGGAAAGUAAAACCCCAAGCUGAAUAGGCCCCCCAUAGUUUCCGAGUGAUGCAGUAAACAAAUCUAUGAUGCUUGUUGAAUAAUCUUCCAAUAAUUGCAGUCAUUAAAAUCAUCACACAGUCUACAGUCACCUUCCUUCCUUUGACACACCAGUCUUUCCCUUAAUUGUUAAUGCAUUUUUGGCUCAGAUAAACACAUAGAGGCAAGCUUAAAAUAUAUGGCCCAGAUACAUCUAACAGCAGAAAAUUAGUUGUGUAACAAACGUUUGGACUGUACUUAAUAAACUAGGGGUUUUCAAUUUCUUCAGCAGACCCUACAGAGGCAAGAAAGAUUUGCAUCUUCUACCACUGCUAAAUAGCAGUGACGCCUCUGAGAUACAAAAAAAAAAAAAAAAGAUGAAAGUCCCAUUGGCCUAUUGAAUCUUCCUUGCUCUUUCAUUUGCAAGGGUUGGGCUGGAAUUAGGACAUUAUAGAACAAAUAUUAAAGGAAAGCUUAACAGAAA